UACGGAGGGUGCGAACGUUAAUCGGAAUUACUGGGCGUAAAGCGCGCGUAGGCGGCUCGUUAAGUGAGAUGUGAAAGCCCCGGGCUUAACCUGGGAAUUGCAUUUCAAACUGGCGAGCUAGAGUGCAGUAGAGGGAGGUGGAAUUCCAGGUGUAGCGGUGAAAUGCGUAGAUAUCUGGAGGAACAUCGGUGGCGAAGGCGGCCUCCUGGACUGACACUGACGCUGAGGUGCGAAAGCGUGGGGAGCAAACAGG
rnacentral:rRNA from 1 species